UCGCGGGAGCCACGCCCUGCAGGUGCGAGCCACGAGCAGCGGGUGCGUUGGGCCCCGCGGGAGCCACGCGCGGGGGAGCUUGGCCUGCGUGCGCGGGCGGCAUGGCGGCCAUGGAUCCGGAGUGCAGAGAUGUGGAGGUGGUGCUCAGGCCAAAUCAGAUGAGUUUGAAUCUUGUUGUUAGGGUUCGAUCAUUCUUUAGUUUGCCUGGAUAUGUAUGAUGCCGUUAUGCUUUGGUGGUACAUCUCUUUUGAAUAUGUAUGAUGGGAUAUUAUCUAUCUGUAUGCGAUUUUAACUUAGUUUUGUGUCA